CCUACGGGGGGCAGCAGUGAGGAAUAUUGGUCAAUGGGCGCGAGCCUGAACCAGCCAAGUAGCGUGAGGGAUGACGGUCUUCGGAUCGUAAACCUCUGUCAGCAGGGAGGAACGGUCACUGUGCUAAUCAGCAGUGAAUUGACGGUACCUGCAAGGGACGCACCGGCUAACUCCGUGCCAGCCGCCGCGGUAAUACGGAGGGUGCGAGCGUUAAUCGGAAUUACUGGGCGUAAGGCGCUCGUAGGCGGUAUGUGAAGUCAAGGGUGAAAUCCCCGCGCUCAACGUGGGAACUGCCUUUGAAACUGGCAAACUGGAGUGUGUGAGAGGAUAGUGGAAUUCCAGGUGUAGGAGUGAAAUCCGUAGAUAUCGAGAGGAACACUCGUGGCGAAGGCGGGUUCCUGGACAUUAACUGACGCUGAGGCACGAAGGCCAGGGGAGCGAAAGGGAUUAGAUACCCUUGUAGUC
rnacentral:rRNA from 1 species